CGAAGGGGCUAGCGUUGUUCGGAUUUACUGGGCGUAAAGCGCACGUAGGCGGUUUGUUAAGUCAGGGGUGAAAUCCCGGAGCUCAACUCCGGAACUGCCUUUGAUACUGGCAAGCUAGAGUCCGGAAGAGGUAAGUGGAACUCCUAGUGUAGAGGUGGAAUUCGUAGAUAUUAGGAAGAACACCAGUGGCGAAGGCGGCUUACUGGUCCGGAACUGACGCUGAGGUGCGAAAGCGUGGGGGAGCAAACAGGAUU
rnacentral:rRNA from 1 species